GUGGGGAAUAUUGGACAAUGGAGGCAACUCUGAUCCAGCCAUGCCGCGUGUGUGAAGAAGGCCUUUUGGUUGUAAAGCACUUUAAGCGAGGAGGAGGCUUACCUGGUUAAUACCUGGGAUAAGUGGACGUUACUCGCAGAAUAAGCACCGGCUAACUCUGUGCCAGCAGCCGCGGUAAUACAGAGGGUGCAAGCGUUAAUCGGAUUUACUGGGCGUAAAGCGCGCGUAGGUGGCUAAUUAAGUCAAAUGUGAAAUCCCCGAGCUUAACUUGGGAAUUGCAUUCGAUACUGGUUAGCUAGAGUAUGGGAGAGGAUGGUAGAAUUCCAGGUGUAGCGGUGAAAUGCGUAGAGAUCUGGAGGAAUACCGAUGGCGAAGGCAGCCAUCUGGCCUAAUACUGACACUGAGGUGCGAAAGCAUGGGGAGCAAACAGGAUUAGAUACCCUUGUAGUCC
rnacentral:rRNA from 1 species